rnacentral:rRNA from 1 species
AAAGAUUCGUCUUGAAAGAAUAUGUAACACCCGAACCCACUCUGAAUUCGAUAAUGUGAAAGUAUUCUUUACUGUAUGUAUUGCUCCCAGCGAGAGACGCAGUACGAGUCUUU